CCACCGGCCCGCCGGGCUCCUCCCGCCGCUGCCGCCGGGCCCGGCGCUGCCCCUCAGGCCCCGGGCGCCAUUUCCCGCCCACUACCUGAGGUGCUGAGGCGGGCGGGGUGAGGCGAGGGACGCGGUGGUGUUCGGUGGGAAGGUGUCGCGUUUUCACGUAAACUUCCGAGGGGGAAUCCCAUACGUCACUUACGGAUUUAAUAAAUAGAUCCCCGAUGAGGAGUUCCAUCUUUUCUGCCUCACCAAGCUGCUGCCCGGCCCGGCGCUGCCCCUCACGCCCCUCGGGCGCCAUUUCCCGCCCGCUACCUGAGGUGCUGAGGCGGAGGGGUGAGGCGAGAGACGUGGUGGUGUGCGGCGGGAAAGUGUGGCGUUUUCACCUAAAUUUCCGAGGGGGGAUCCCACACGUCAUUUACGGGUUUAAAGAAUAGGUGAGGAGUUGCAUCUUUUCUGCCUCACGAAGCUGCAGGCUCUUGGCUGGGUGCCUCGGGGCAGCUGCGGGGCCGCUUCCCGCAUACAUCACAGUCCUAAAUGACAUUUACAUCCCUGUUCGCAGAAAACACUUCAUUUGUAUUUAAUCACUUAGGCAUUCCAUAAGCAAUUGUAAACUUCACUCAUAUUACUUUUACUGUUAAAAGAUGCUUCAUUUGUGCUACUUGCCCGCUUUUGCCACUUGUCCCGUCCACACGCCCUUCCACUGCUCAGGUUCAUAGAGCUGCAAUUUCAAAAGAGGCGCCGGGACAAUUUGACAAGGCUUCUCUGCCACAUACUGGGAUCUGUGGCAGAGAUGUGAGAUGUGGCAGCACAAUGAUGAACUCAAGAGUGUAUCAAUCCCUCAUUUUACCCUUCCAACCCGAAAGAGAAACCAGUAACUUCUGGAGGAAACAAAGAAGUGAGAAGUCUUCAGAUAUACAACAAAUUCUUGAACUUCUGUUCGGAAUUCAUCCACUCCCUCUGGCUGGAAUGGGAAGUGGAAGUGCCCAACUAAUUGUGCAGGAAGGCAAAUCACAGCUGGGGUUUUCCAUCCUUCCUACCAGCAGCACUCAUUAAGGUUACUGCACGAGCAACACAGAACUGACCGGGGCUCAGAGGAGAGGCCAGAGGUGCUUCACUGAGACCCACGAAUUGGAAACAUUCCCUGACUACAAGGUGAGUGCACAGCAUCAGAGAUGAGUGCCAGGCAGCACCAUAAGGCAGGCAGCUUUUAUUUUCUGCAGUUGUUGAAGUUCUGACAGAGCUCCUCCAUCUCAACGUUAGCCAGUUCAGUACUGCAGCAACCCAGCAGAUAAACACAGCCCCUUCCAGCCCUGAGCUGGGUGUUCUUAGAAAGCACACACCAGGAAAAUGACACUUUACACUGGCUGUAGGAUCAGGCAGCCCCACUGUUUCUUCCAGCUCAGCAACUCAGACUGCUCAAUAAGCUUCCCAACCGAGCUGCAACCACAUUGCUUGGCUUGGCAAGACUCUGUCUUGCUGCUCUCCCUGUAGCAGCCAGUGAUGAUUUGCUGGAGAUAUUUCAGCCUUGCUGCUGUGGCUGCUAGCAGCAAGCUGUGUUUUUUAACUCAAGUCUAACAGUU